rnacentral:rRNA from 1 species
GACGAACGCUGGCGGCGUGCCUAAUACAUGCAAGUCGAGCGGACCAAACAGGAGCUUGCUCUUGUUUGGUUAGCGGCGGACGGGUGAGUAACACGUGGGUAACCUGCCCGUAAGACCGGGAUAACUCCGGGAAACCGGAGCUAAUACCGGAUAACCCCGAAGACCGCAGGGUCUUUGGUUGAAAGGCGGCUUCGGCGGCCACUUACGGUUGGGCCCGCGGCGCAUUAGCUAGUUGGUGAGGUAACGGCUCACCAAGGCGACGAUGCGUAGCCGGCCUGCGAGGGUGACCGGCCACACUGGGACUGAGACACGGCCCAGACUCCUACGGGAGGCAGCAGUAGGGAAUCUUCCGCAAUGGACGAAAGUCUGACGGAGCGACGCCGCGUGAGCGAAGAAGGUCUUCGGAUCGUAAAGCUCUGUUGUUAGGGAAGAAGAAGCGCCGUUCGAACAGGGCGGCGCGGUGACGGUACCUAACGAGAAAGCCCCGGCUAACUACGUG